AUAUCUGGUAACACUGAACAGAUCUGAUCAGCAACCGAAACACGGUGUCAGCUUCGCUCUAUUGUUUUGUUCGUUUUGCCGCGAGUAUUUGUUUAUUAUCUUUAUGUUCGGAGUGGUGUAGUUUCUGGAAAAUGGGCGGCUGCAAAUCCUGGCUGUUCCAACAAGUUGGAUCAUAGGUGAGUUUCUCAUGUGGCCAAAGUCCAUUAACAAUGAGAGCAUUGAAAAGAUGCGAAAAGAUGGCACGGCUUUUCGUGGGUCGACAAGGGCCAUACCCGUGCUUAUUACUAGAAAGUUUUGAAAAUUCGAUCAAGCAGAAGCAGCUGUUGAUGAAUUGGCGAGAAAAGAUGUAUCCGAUUUUGAAGAAAAAACGAAAAUUCUAAAAUCCACCAAAAAGAAGAAGAAAAAGUCGGUUUCAGAUACAACCGAUUUUAAUGAUAUGUUGACAGAUAUAGUGAAUAAAAACUCGAAAAGCAGCUAAUCAACCAAUAAUCAAGUACCAUUGAAUAAACUGCCCGUAAAUAUACCAACACCAGAACCAAUACUUUAUAAUCAAAAAUUUGUCGAAACCCAAGCAUCGAUGCAGCUAAAUGUAACACAAGCAGGGCCACCUUUCGGUCCUGUUGACACUACGUCGUGGAAAACGGAAUCAUCAAUUCAAUUGAAUAGUGAACGAACCUCCCAUGAUCUUAUAAAAAUGAUUGAUUGACAAAUUGAAAUAGAAGGGUUGCAGACUUCAAAUGCUUUUUCAGAUCACACAAUAUACGGAACUAUGAAUGCCCCUGAAUUCAGUAUUUCUCAUGACAAUGAACAAAAUAACAUGAAACAGAUAGGUGCACCAAGUGAAACAGUAUACGACCUUGACACCUUGAUAAGGCAAACAAUUUCUGAAUCCGUGAAUGAAACCAUUCCUGUUGCAAUCGAGUCUUUACUGGACAAAAGAAUUGAGAGAGCUAUCGAUCAUGCAGUAUCCAUGGCUGUAGACAAAUGUUUUGAGUCAAAUUUCACUCGUCUAGCAGCUUUAUUCGAGGUGAUUAGCAGUGAUAGACAUAGAAACGAAUCAACCAGUAAGGAAACAACGAUUGAAAAGCACGUUCCUAUUGACGUUGAGGAACAAGUAGAGCAGUUCAAUAUUGAUUAAAGAGAUAAAAUUCUACAAACAAAACAUCCAUUCAGGAGCCACUUCGGGUGCUGAAAAAAAAGCCUGCAAAACUGCUUAGAAUAUGUUCCCUACCCUAUAUAUGAGUAAUGCGCUAAUAUAUAGAAGUGAUAAAUAAAAUCUGUCUUAUAUUGAGUGAAA